rnacentral:tRNA from 1 species
AGGAGUAUAGUUUAUAAAAAUAUCAAGUUUGCACCUUGAAGAUAGUACCUACUUACUCUCA